rnacentral:ncRNA from 1 species
UACCUAGAGGGUUUCUGUCGAUCAAGGGCGAGAGUAGGAGUAUCCAACAGGAUUAGAGACCCUGGUAGUUCCUACCUUAAACGAUGCCGACAGGAGUUUGUCAUUUGUUAAUGGCAGAAUCUUUGGAGAAAUCAUAGUUCUUGGGCUCUGGGGGAACUACGACCGCAAGGCUGAAACUUGAAGGAAUUGACGGAAGGGCACACCAGGGGUGGAGCCUGUGGCUUAAUUUGAAUCAACACGGGGAAACUUACCAGGACCAGAUGUUUUUUAUGACUGACAGGCUUCGGGUCUUUCAGGAUAUUGUUUUUGGUGGUGCAUGGCCGUUGGUGGUGCGUGGGUUGACCUGUCUAGCGUUGAUUCAGCUAACGAGCGAGAUUAUCGCCAAUUAUUUACUUUGCCGAAGUCCUUCGGUUAAAGUUCUAAUUGGGACUCCCUGCGAUUUUAGCAGGUGGAAGAGGGUAGCAAUAACAGGUCCGUGAUGCCCUUUAGAUGCUCUGGGCUGCACGCGUGCUACAAUGUUAGGAUCAAUAGGACUGCGAGCCUGAGAGGGUGCGCUACUCUUAUAAUCCCUAACGUAGUUGGGAUUGACGUUUGUAAUCAGCGUCAUGAACCAGGAAUCCCUUGUAAAUGUGUGUCAACAACGCACGUUGAAUACGUCCCUGCCCUUUGUACACACCGCCCGUCGCUCCUACCGAUUGGAUGACUCGGUGAAAUCACCGGAUGCUUACGAGCAGAAAGUGAUUAAAUCACGUUAUCUAGAGGAAGGAGAAGUCGUAACAAGGUAACGGUAGGUGAACCUGCCGUUGGAUCAGUU